AACAUACCUUUUGCAUAAUGGUGAUACUAAAAUCCAAUUUAUAGUUAAACUUCCCGAAAAUAAUAAGAUCUACUUAGAUUUUAUACUUGUUAGGGUUAAUGUUAAUGUGGCAUAAUUAAAAUAAAAUAAUUAAGUAGUGGUGAAACGCCUGCCAAUUAUAUUGAUAACUGGAUUAAAAGAAAAUAUAUUUAGUAUAAAAGACAAUUUUAAAGCGAUAAGGUUUUAAAAAAAUUGAAUGGAAUUUAAUAAUGAAAUAUUAUCUAGUAAAACUAAUCAAUAUAUCAAUCAAUCCAAAAUUAAACUGUAGUUACAUCAAAAAUGUACCUUUUAUAUGCUAUGAAAUAAAGACUUACCAUUAAUAAUGUAUCAAUCAGUAAAUAUAAUAAAAUAUAAUUAAGGAACUCGACAAAUAUUUUGUACGCCUGUUUAUCAAAAACAUAACCAUAAGCAAAUUUUUAUGGUGCCGUCCGCCCAGUGAUAAUUUUAACGGCCGCAGUACUUUGACUGUGCAAAGGUAGCAUAAUAACUUGGCUUUUAAUUGGAGUCUGGAAUGAGAGAAUAAACGUAUAAAUUUUGUCUCAAAUUGUAUUGUCUUGAAGUUAUUUAGGAAGUGAAAAUACUUCUAAUUUUAAUAUUAGACGAGAAGACCCUUAGAAUUUUUACUAGUUAUGUAAUCAGUUUAUAUACAACGUUUUAGUUGGGGCAACUCUAUUUCAUAUCUAAUAAAUAGUAACAUUAAAUUUUUGUACCGAUUGUAAUAUAUAAAACUAAAUUACCUAAGGGAUAACAGCAUAAUUUUAUUAACUAAGAUUGUGACCUCGAUGUUGGACUAGGUAGUGCUAAAGCUAAACGUUUUAUCAUAUAGGUUCUGUUCGAACUUCUUCACCUACAUGAUCUGAGUUCAGACCGGCGUAAGCCAGGUCAGUUUCUAUCUUUUAUAUUGUAUAGAAUAGUACGAA
rnacentral:rRNA from 1 species